AGUUUUUUGUUUUUUUAUAAAAAAUAUUCUCUGCUCGGUGUUUGUUUAACAGCCGCGGUAAUUUGACCGUGCAAAGGUAGCAUAAUCAUUUGCCCUAUAAUUGGGGGCUAGAAUGAACGGGGGGACAAGAUAUUCUCUUUAUUCUUUUAAUAUUUGGAAAUUGCUUUUUUUGUGAGGAAGCAAAAAUAGGUGAGGGGGACAAGAAGACCCUUUUGAGCUUUAUUGAGUGGUUUAUUACUUAUUGCUUUUAAUUUGGUUGGGGCGACCUGAGAAGAUAGUUUGAUCUUCUUUUAAAUUUUUUAUUUUGAUCCGUUUUUUGCGAUUGAAAGAAUAAGUUACCAAAGGGAUAACAGCGUAAUUUUUUUUGAGAGUUCUUAUUUAAAAAAAUGAUUGCGACCUCGAUGUUGACUUAUAAUUACUAGAUGGUGUAGUAGCUUUUUUAGUGGGUCUGUUCGACCUUUAAUAUUUU
rnacentral:rRNA from 1 species